UACGAAGGGGGCUAGCGUUGCUCGGAAUUACUGGGCGUAAAGCGCACGUAGGCGGGUUCUUAAGUCGGUGGUGAAAUCCUGGAGCUCAACUCCAGAACUGCCUUCGAAACUGGGAAUCUUGAGUCCGGGAGAGGUGAGUGGAACUGCGAGUGUAGAGGUGAAAUUCGUAGAUAUUCGCAAGAACACCAGUGGCGAAGGCGGCUCACUGGCCCGAUACUGACGCUGAUGCACGAAAGCGUGGGGAGCAAACAGG
rnacentral:rRNA from 1 species